GCGCGUUUAGUGGCAGCGCGGCCGCGGCGGCUCAUGAUGUGCCUGGAGAGCGACGGCUCGUCGAGCGGCGGCCCGCCGGGCUGCAGCGGACGCCUCCGGGUCUCGGCCGCGGCCGGCGCGGGCGACGACGACGAGGAGGACGACGGAGGAGGAGGAGGAAGCGGGGACCGCGGCUGCUGCGGGCGGAGCGGCGAGGUGCAGACCCUGUCCGGCGCCGUCCACGCGCCCCAGGGCGGCGCCGACAAGGCAGCAGCGGCCGCGGGCGCCGCGCCUCCCAGCCUGGGCAGAGCGCGCGUGGCGGCCGCCGCCAUCCUCAGCGUGGGGAACGUCCUCAACUACCUGGACAGGUACACCGUGGCAGGUGUUUUGCUAGACAUCCAGCAACAUUUCGGAGUCAAGGACAGUGGAGCCGGCUUGCUGCAGACAGUUUUCAUCUGCAGCUUCAUGGUAGCAGCCCCAAUAUUCGGCUACCUGGGUGACCGUUUCAACAGGAAAAUUAUUCUCAGCUGCGGCAUUUUCUUCUGGUCGGCCAUCACUUUUUCCAGCUCCUUCAUCACCGAGCAGUAUUUCUGGCUGUUUGUCCUCUCGCGGGGUUUGGUCGGCAUCGGCGAAGCCAGCUACUCCACCAUUGCUCCCACCAUCAUCGGAGACCUCUUCAACAAAAACACCCGGACCCUCAUGCUCUCCGUUUUCUACUUCGCAAUCCCUUUGGGCAGCGGUUUAGGGUACAUCACUGGAUCAAGCGUCAAGCAAGUAGCUGGUGACUGGCACUGGGCCCUUCGGGUCUCCCCGCUUUUAGGUAUGAUCACCGGCACACUCAUCUUAAUAUUUGUUCCAGCUGCUAAGAGAGGCAACGGCGAGCAGCUGGGGGCGCAGCUGAAGGCUCGGACCUCGUGGCUGAGAGACAUGAAGGCCUUGAUAAGGAACCGCAGCUACGUCUUUUCCUCUCUGGCUACCUCGGCUGUCUCCUUCGCCACGGGGGCCCUGGGGAUGUGGAUCCCCCUCUACCUCCACCGGGCACAAGUGGUCCAGAAAACAGCAGAGACCUGCACAUCUCAGCCCUGCGGAACCAAGGACAGCUUGAUCUUUGGAGCUAUCACUUGCUUCACCGGAUUUCUGGGCGUGAUCACCGGGGCCGGCGCGACCAAGUGGUGCCGUUUGAAGACGCAGCGGGCGGAUCCCCUCGUCUGCGCUGUCGGGAUGUUGGGUUCAGCCAUCUUCACUUGCCUGAUCUUCGUUGCGGCAAAGAGCAGCAUUGUGGGAGCCUAUGUCUGCAUUUUUAUCGGUGAGACACUCUUGUUUUCAAACUGGGCCAUCACCGCCGACAUACUCAUGUACGUGGUUAUCCCUACACGCCGGGCAACUGCAGUAGCUUUGCAAAGCUUCACCUCACACCUUCUGGGAGACGCUGGGAGCCCUUACCUGAUUGGAUUUAUCUCUGACCUGAUUCGCCAGAGCACGAAGGAAUCGCCGCUCUGGGAAUUCCUCAGCUUGGGCUACGCGCUCAUGCUCUGCCCUUUCGUCGUCGUCCUGGGGGGGAUGUUUUUCCUAGCCACGGCCCUCUUCUUCCUUAGCGACCGAGCCAGAGCGGAGCAACACACAGAUUUGGACCACCUCGCCAUGGGCACCUCCAGUAACUCGGAAGACACAGCCACAUGACCGCUACAACUUGGGAGUUAAUCAACUCAUGAUGCCUCCAGCCUCUGUGAAAGUCUAAGGCGCUGACAUCCCGGAUGAUGAAGGAAAGCUUUUGUGAGCUCCGGCGGCAGCCGAACCCCAAAACGAGCACCUGCAGGAGACGCCCCCCACCCCCCGCCAAUCCACCCUUCCCGGAACGUGGAGCCGUGGAAAACGUAUCCCGGGGAACCGAUUACACAGCGACACGGUGUUUCAUCAGCCAGAGGAGAGGGGGAGUCCGUCGGGGCACAUCUCAACAGACAUGGAGUCUUGUGCUUUUGCGGUCUUGCAUAAAGAAGAACUCCCGUCUCCCCUGCUCCAGAGGGAAGGGACCUUUCUGCCUGGCAUCUUUCCCAAAAGAAGUCACUUGGAGGAACGGUGUACAGCUUGCUUUCAGCUCCAUGAAGAUGCUCCCUUGGGUCAACGGCGAAGACUCCCUGCCCCAUUGAACACACUGCUGCUCUUGCCAACCACUUCUUGUCUCCAUCCAGAGGUGUCAUCCUAGUUGGAGAAGCAAGAGACUCGGUUUUGGGUUGUGAAAGCAAAGAUCCGUUUUGUAUUAUUGAAUCAUUGCAUAGGACACUUUCUCCAGAAGGUCGAAAAGAUUGGAGCGGCUGGGCAAUUCACAUACAUACAUACAUAUAUAUAUUUAAUUUAAAGGUGUUCUUUGCACUAGCAGGAAGCUGCUGGAGCUACCUCGAGGCCACUGCAGGGUUUGCUCUUGGCCAGGAAUUUGGUGGUUUAACUUUCUACUGGGGAAUCCAAGCGUAAUUUCAAGCCCUUUGAGGGGUGGGGAGAAGCAACAGGGAAAGAGGCGGCGUAGGCAGCUUUAGCUGAGAACGUUACCUACCUACUGAUGGUCCUCCGGGUCAGAAAUGUAGCUGCCCGGAGUGUCCAUUUCUUUAAAUGCAAGUGAAUGUGAGAUAAUUGCUGCUUUGGGGUCAAGGUCAGGUCAGAGCGGAGAAGAACCGCUGUUUCCUGCUGGAGUCAAAUGCUAUGGGAGGAGGUCGAUGCUGGAGAACUCUUUGGAGGGAGUAGGGCAGGCUGCGGCGGAGCCACAGUGAUCCCACCAGAUCCAGUCUCUGCUGUUCCCCCCAAAAAAUGUGUUUUCAGAAAGAACCUGAUUGGCUCCCAGUAGCGCCUGUCAACUCAUUCAGAGAAGCAGAAAGAACAUGAGGAUUAGCAGCAGGGGCGAUUUCUGCUGUGUUGGAUUUAACAUCUCCUGCCAGUGAGCAUGCACAUAUAGUCAGGAAUAUUGCCUCCCACCUCUAGCAAGGGCCAGGAGGGUAGUUACUCCUGGGGGGGUUCGAGGCUCUUCUGAAAGGUUGUAGCACCUUGGAAGACGAGAGGCCUGCUAAGUUGCAUGGUAAAGGUAAAGGGCCCCCUGACCAUCAGGUCCAGUCGUGUCCGACUCUGGGGUUGCGGCGCUCAUCUCGCUCUAUAGGCCGAGGGAGCCGGCGUUUGUCCGCAGACAGCUUCCGGGUCAUGUGGCCAGCAUGACAAAGCUGCUUCUGGCGAACCAGAGCAGCGCACGGAACCGCCGUUUACCUUCCCGCCGGAGCGGUCCCUAUUUAUCUACUUGCACUUUCAAACUGCUAGGUGGGCAGGAGCUGGAACCGAGCAACGGGAGCUCACCCCGUUGCAGGGAUUCGAACCGCCAGAGCCCUAGACUCUGUGGUUUAACCCACAGUGCCACCUGGGUCCCAAUUGGUACACGGUGCCAAUUCUCCAUGACAGAUCCCUGAUAGAAGUGCCAGUCCCUUCAACUUCCUGUUGUUGGCGCUACAAGCUUUCUGCAGCCGAGUGGGGUGGUGGAGACAAGCACGCUAGCUCCACGCACACACAGACACCGCCAGUCAGGUAUGUCGGAGGGCAAACUUCUGAAGCAGGGAGGCGCUUCUGUGCAUGAACCCCCGAGGACGAGGGCUCCGAAAUGCGCAGGGAGCUAAACAGGAAAAGCGGCAGGACAUUUGUUCCCUCUUCACACGUUUACUUGACUUGGAUGUAGAAAGCCUGGAGCGGGUUACAGGCACAUAGGAAGCUGCUCUCCAGAAGAGGCCUAAAAAAUACAAAGCUAAGAGACAGUGGAACUAGGUUUACUGUUUAUUAUACUUUUGCAUUGGAAAGCUAUGGGCCAACUCUGGGCUUAGGCUGAACUUAUUUGCCAGAGAGAAUGGUGUGGUGGCAGGGAGAACGUAGCUGUCAGGGCCUGGAGGGGAAAGAUAUCACCAUGGUCUGAAUUUCAGCCACAGAAUUACAUUAAGAAAAAGGUGCGCUCUCAAGAGCAUAAAUCAGGUCGAAGCAUCACCACGCAAGAUGGGAAAGUAAUCUUGACCUCCACCCUCAUCAUCUCCCACCACCACCUCAAAUGUUCCACCUUUCACCCCGCCUCUCGCAGCCGGGCUUUUGUCAUUUGCUCCAUCCUUUCCCCCCCGUAUUUCUUUCCUUGUAAAGAGACACCUAAAAACAACCGCUUUGGCAAAUGGUGAAAGGGAUGGAAAUGUGACGUACGUUUUCUUGUUAUACAAGGCAGGACUCGAACCAGUUUUCUGAUUUUCUUUCAGAAGCAAAAAAAAAACAAAAAAAAAAACAAAUAAGACUGAAAAAUGGCUAUUUUAUAUUUUAAAAAGCAAUGAAGUUGAUUAUGGAUCUCAGAGUAUAAGAAGAAAUAAAUAUAAAUAUAUGCAUUAUGUAAAUUAAGAAAUAAAGCUAUUUAAACACUUCAUGCCAGCUUUCAUCUCUCGUUCGGCUGCCUGUCGGGAGACGCGGGUUCCAGGCGAGGCAGCGGCUUUGAAGGAAACCGCGGGUGCUUCUCCUCCAACAGCGCUCACAGCCAUGCCUGUGUAGAGAUCUGAAGAGACUUGCUGCAAACAAGUAGGGCCGGCCCACACAGGAGGCAAAGCAAGGCAACUGCCUCGGGCGGCGGGAUUCACAGGGGCAGCAGAUCUGGCCUCUAAGGAACAUGUCACCUGCUGCCGCCGCAAUGACAGCAACACCUGUGGUGUGGUCCUUGAAAGCUGAGUCUGCCACCUCCUUGGCAGCGCCCCCCCCCAUGCCACCUCUACAGCAGCGUCUUGGGAAAAUAGGAGGCACUGCUGGUCUCUCACCACUAGGAAGGAAAUUGGAGGGGCUGCCGUCUGGGUUCUCCUGGGCUCUGCUGGUGCGAUUCAGCAUGGGACCCCUUUCCCCUCACUGCAACGGCCCUUAAUUCUCAGUAAUGAUGGCACCGGGCGAACAUUCUAUAAGUGGGGAGCCACCACAGAAAUAAACCCGUUCUCAUGUUGCCACCCUCCGGACCCCUUGUGGAGGCAAAUGGAUAAGGGCCUCAGAUGAUGAUCUCAGGGUCUGGGAUGGCUUAUAUAGAGAUGGGGCUGUUGAUAUGAUCCAGUAUAACUCUUGUUGAGAUUGCAGGGGGUUGGACUAGAUGACAGUCAGGGUCCCUACCAACUCUACAGUUCUGAUUCUAUGAUUCUUCUUACCUUUUUGUGCUGCCAUAGCUGGGAUCAGAUCAUCGGUCUCUAAACCGCUUAGUGUUGUCA